rnacentral:rRNA from 1 species
UGGGGAAUAUUGGACAAUGGGGGGAACCCUGAUCCAGCCAUGCCGCGUGUGUGAAGAAGGUCUUCGGAUUGUAAAGCACUUUAAGUUGGGAGGAAGGGCAGUAAGCGAAUACCUUGCUGUUUUGACGUUACCGACAGAAUAAGCACCGGCUAACUCUGUGCCAGCAGCCGCGGUAAUACAGAGGGUGCGAGCGUUAAUCGGAUUUACUGGGCGUAAAGCGUGCGUAGGCGGCUAAUUGAGUCGGAUGUGAAAUCCCCGAGCUUAACUUGGGAAUUGCAUUCGAUACUGGUUAGCUAGAGUGUGGGAGAGGAUGGUAGAAUUCCAGGUGUAGCGGUGAAAUGCGUAGAGAUCUGGAGGAAUACCGAUGGCGAAGGCAGCCACCUGGCCUAACACUGACGCUGAGGUACGAAAGCAUGGGGAGCAAACAGG